CCAGCGUAACUGUCUGUCUGUCUUUCUGUUGGUCGGAAUUGCUAAUUAGAUCCCUCCGAAGAUGCAGCGAUGAUCAAACCAUGAGCGGCAAUAAAGUGCCUAUCCUUCAUUGAAAGUAGGAAAUUGGAAAAAAGUGUCUAUAUAUGGCAGAGCGAAAAUAUUCAACGAAAUCUUGAGCCGAAGAAAUAGAAGGGAUACAGGCCAUUUGCAGGUAAUCUGUUUGUUUCGGCAUUUCGGACCGAGAAAAAACCGUGGCGCAAUGACCAAAUGUCUGCAUAUGCACGAUGGGCACACCAAAGAUCUGG